GCGGGAGUAGCUCAAUUGGCAGAGCACUAGCCUUCCAAGCUGGGGGUUGCGAGUUCGAGCCUCGUCUCCCGCUCCA
rnacentral:tRNA from 1 species